CGUGUAGGCGGUUGGGUAAGUCUUGUGUGAAAUGCUUUGGCUCAACCAGAGCACUGCGCAGGAUACUGCCUGACUGGAAUUCGGAAGGGGUGACUGGAAUUCCCGGUGUAACGGUGAAAUGUGUAGAUAUCGGGAGGAACACCUGUGGCGAAGGCGGGUCACUGGUCCGACAUUGACGCUGAGACGCGAAAGCGUGGGGAGCAAACA
rnacentral:rRNA from 1 species